UGAAGAAAAUGAGCUAUGCCUCAUGGGAGCAGCAUUUCAACAGAGAGAUUAUCAAUAGAAGCUAAUGUUCAGUUAGAAAAUCUGAAUUGUGUAGUAUGAAUUGCCGAAGACUGAGUGUACCCAUGGAGCCACACCCAGAGGUCCACAUUUCUCUCAAUCUCAAAUUACAGGCUGUUUAGAGCUUACGAUGUUGGGGCUGAGAAUUAAACUCAGGUCCUCUAUAAGAUAGUGUACACUUCAAAACCCUGAGGCAACUUCUGGCCUCCACUUGCUAUUCCAAAAGUAUAACCACCUGAGGAACCACAUAUAAUGAAAUAUUGUCUCUAAGGAGUCUAUCUAAACCUAUUGUGUUAUUUACCACAGAUAUGCAUAAAAAUGUCUACCCACUUGUUCAUAUAGCACUUAGCAAGUUAUAUUUUAUCCCUACAACUAUAUAAUAUAGUACAUCUAUGUUGAAAAUUUCCAUGACAUUUUUUAUAUAAUACACACACCAAUAUGAGCAUGCGAAUGUUACCAUACAUAUUUGGUUCCUUGUCUUAUCAAGGUAUUGGUUUUAUAUUUUACAAUAAUGGGAAAAAGAUAUUGCCAGCCUCCUUUACCUAUCGGGAAGUACCGGAUGUUGCAGCACCACUUGGGCACAUAUUGCAAAGUGGUCCUUUACAAUCAGUUAGACUAAUAUGCUUGAGCCUCCACCCAGAAGCCCAGGAGAACUGGGAACUGCUAAUCAGAGACAGGGUAUGGAGGACAAGAUGGAGUUUAGCCACUCUGUGUUAUCAGGGAGAGCAGAGUGCUUUCUCUCUGAUGCUGUGGCUGAACCAACAGUUUCACCUUCAAUUUCCUUUUAUAUUCCUUCCUCUGAAAUGUAAGUGAAGUGGCUUACUUCCUUACUUUCAUUAAAGCAAAAACCCAUUUCACAAGCUCUAAAAUUCUCUUGCUUUUUGACAAAAUAUAGUAAUUAGACUCUGCUAAAAAAUUAAAUUACAUUUUUUAAAAAUCAUUUAACUGUCUUGAAUUAUGAUGCCUACUAUUUUUUAAAUGAUUAUAUUAUAUGAGUAUUUUUAUGAAAUUUUAUUAUUUCAUAAAACUUCAAAUUCUGAUCUCAUUUGAAUCAAACACUGUCAGUAAGAUGAUUGAAAAAUUAGUUUUUAAUCUUGAUAUAAACACAGUAAGUAAAGUGCUUGCUGCAUAAGAGGGGACCCAAGUUCGAAUACCCAGAACCUAUAUAAGGCUGAGCAUAGUAGCACAUAGACAUCAUUAAAGUGCUCUCCUGUGAAAUGAGACACAAAGGCAGAAUAUUCGGAAGCGUUCUGACAAGUCACCUUACCACACACAGUUCAGAAGAAAACAUCAGAUUGUCUUUACCUCAAACAACGUGAAAGGUGAGACCCCAUCCUGGAGCCUGGUUUCUGACCUUCAUGCAGUCACAUUCAUGUUUUAGCACUCAAAAAUACGGGCUUUCUCGAAAUCUCUCCGCACCCUUCCCCACCCACACACACAUGAUACACACAGAGAAUACAGAUGAAGAUAGGUUGACGUGACAAAAUGCUUGUGAAUUCUUCAACACAAUUAACUGGAUAACAACAACAGCAACAACAACAAAAACUGUAGUUGGUUGUAUUAAAAUGUUGAAAUCCUCAGAGUCUUAAUUUUUACCAUAAAGAAAAUGACUGCUUACAAUCUAUGUUAAGAUUAUUGCAGAUAGCCUGUGAGGUGUCUCAAGGAUCUCUGUGGAAUGUUUAAAGUAUGUAUAGAAGUGACCACGGUUCAACAUAAAAGUGAAAACCACCCAACUGAGUGUUUCACGGCAGUGAAAGCGAUCGGUCAUCAUUUAUUGAUGUUUAGAAACAGACUGAAAAUGGAUGUUGUAAGCGUGAGAGCCAGAUUAUUAUGUAUCACAUUCUCGACCUGUCACAUGGGCAGGACAUGCUGUCAGAUGCAAGUGUUGUAGAUACGAACUUCUAUUAAAACAUACUAUAAUAUGUAUGCAUAAUUGUGCAAUAUCAUAUGAAAAUAUUAUGACUUUACAUCCUAAACAGUCAAAUUUCGGAUAUUUAUGUACUUUUAAAUCUAGAAAUAUUGGUCUAUAUUCAAGAGCAAUGCUCUAUACACGAACAUUAACUAGGAAGCAUCAUUGGUUGUAUUCCUCUUCUUGAUAACACAUUGCUAGAAGCAAGUGAGACAUAAUGACAGACAUAAUAACAUAUAAUACAUCAAAGAGACAUAAUUAUAAUCAUAGGACUUGUUGUCAAGGAUUCAUAUCUAAAAUCUCUAUCCCAGGCACCCUCCUCCUCCUCACUGUAUUCUUUCAUGCCCUGUAGUCCUGUUGGAUCAAUUACUUAACCUAUGAUGUAGACUUCUUUGGCCAGGCUAUUUUUGUACUGUGUAGAUUUUAUCAAUUUACUUUCCUUCUGAUUUCAACUUGGAUGUUCAUUGUAAUCACAGCCUGAGCAUAGAGACACCCUUGACCCUUUCCCAUUAUCACAACUGUUUGGCAAACACAUUGGGUCUAUUAUUUAGUUUUAAGUCUGAUUUUACGGUUAAUGAUUUUCAUUGCAGUGUUUUCCAUUCUGACUUUGCAUCUAUAAGUACUUGUCAACCCUGUGGACUCCCAGAUUCUCUCCCAGACCCACUGCUUUUUCAAAUAUCCUUCCUCCCCUCAUGCUGCAUUCUGCUCCCUUCUAGAUCCCUCCUGACCUGACUUUAAAAUCUCCUCUCAUGUGCACUUUUUUUCUUUCAUGACCUACAAACUUCCUGUCAUAUCCAUGCAUAUAUAAAAGUUAGGCUAUGUUUGAAAUAAAAUAUCCAUUACCUGUAUCUUUUAAUGUUUGGCUCAUUUUACUUAAUAUUUCUAGUUGCAUAAAUUUGAUAGGAAAGGCCAUGGUUUCAGCUUCCAUUGUGAGUGAAUUAAUUCUACUGGAAUAAUAUAAAAUUAAAUUCACUGCACAUCAAAGGAAAUAAUCAAUAAAGGAACAGUCAAUGGAAUGGGAGAAAAUCUGCCAAGCAAACUUCAGGUAGGGAUUAAUAUCUAGAAUGUGC
rnacentral:lncRNA from 1 species